rnacentral:rRNA from 1 species
AUUGAACGCUGGCGGCAGGCUUAACACAUGCAAGUCGAGCGGAGAUGAGGUGCUUGCACCUUAUCUUAGCGGCGGACGGGUGAGUAAUGCUUAGGAAUCUGCCUAUUAGUGGGGGACAACAUUCCGAAAGGAAUGCUAAUACCGCAUACGUCCUACGGGAGAAAGCAGGGGAUCUUCGGACCUUGCGCUAAUAGAUGAGCCUAAGUCGGAUUAGCUAGUGGGUGGGGUAAAGGCCUACCAAGGCGACGAUCUGUAGCGGGUCUGAGAGGAUGAUCCGCCACACUGGGACUGAGACACGGCCCAGACUCCUACGGGAGGCAGCAGUGGGGAAUAUUGGACAAUGGGGGAAACCCUGAUCCAGCCAUGCCGCGUGUGUGAAGAAAGCCUUAUGGUUGUAAAGCACUUUAAGCGAGGAGGAGGCUACUGAGACUAAUACUCUUGGAUAGUGGACGUUACUCGCAGAAUAAGCACCGGCUAACUCUGUGCCAGCAGCCGCCGUAA